UAUUUUUUUUUUCCCAGUUGUAUGAGUAAGGUGGAAAGCUGGAGAGUCAAAGGACAUCCUUUCUCUCUAUUUACAGCAUCAUUUAAACAAUCAACAAAGUCUUGCCAUCUCUCUGCAUUGCUGAGAUUCACAAACUAGAUAUGCCCUGCCUAUUGUGCUUCCAGGACCCACUCUGGGAAAUAUUCCCAGGAAAGCCCUCCCAGGUCAGUCCUUACGCAAAACUGAAAAUGAAAUCAUGUCCCUGCUUUUCAAUGAGAGCACUUGUUCUCAGUCAGGCUUAGAAUGUGGAACCUCUGGGUUUAAGUUUCUCUUUUAUGUGAUUUGGAAUAUGAGUUUGAAGCCAGAUUAUUUAUGUUUCAAGAAACGACCCUGGUAAACAGGAUGUUGAGCUCUCAGAAUUGUUGUUCGGCUUGGUAGGAAGAGCACAGUACUCAUUGUAUCAUAGACAGAGUAGGAGUUUAAUUUAAUGUAGCAUUUGGGAUGUGCGUAGGAGAGCCCCUUUGUGGAUUUAUUGGCUCUGUUGCAGCAUCACAAAAGUAAAAUUGGUUUAAAUCAGGAUACUGUAUGUAGCUAGCCUGUCUUUCAUUGCAGUAACAAAAGCCAUUAAAGAAUAUGGAUAGAAGUAAUACUUGAACUGUGUUUUGAAAUGCUUUCAUGUUCCUUUAGAACAUUAUUUCUCUUCAGGUGAAGACCUGAGUCUGUCUAAUCUUCAUGAAUCACUUCAGACAAAAAUGCUGGUAGGUAGAUAGGUAAAGUGAAUAAAAUUGAAAGUGACUUUCUGAGUCAUUCAGUGCAGGUACUUAAGUCACAAUCCUUUAAACUGGUUAAGCUGCGUGCUAAAAGUAGCUUGGUUUCUUGCCCUUCUGAUCCUGUUUCACCAUUGAGCUAUUGUGAUGGUUAGAAAUUCUCUAAAUCUACCCCAAGUGUUUUCAUGACUGUGAAAGCAUGAAAUAAUAUUCGCAGCCUGUGUCAACAAUUAUCUUUAAAGUCAUCAGUGCUUUCUCAUAGGCUUCAUUUAAUGAAACUGAAUAUGCCGCUGUCUUUUAGUUUUCUCAGAGCAUGUUAAGAGAAAUGCAGAACCAGCUAAUGCUCCUUCUUCAUUAGGAGUAACUAGUACCGUAAAUAGCAUCCCAGAUGAAACCUCUGUUACACUAUGGCAAUAAUCCUGCCCUUUUCCCAAAAGCCACCUUUGCCUUCCCUCACAACUGCAUAACUUUCACAGAUGAUAGUCUCUCCUUGAACAGUACACUCAGGUCUUUCUCUGCCUCUCUCGUCUUCCAGCAGUGGGUUCUACCUUUGGCAGAUUUUUAUAUUUUUUUGCAUAGUAGUAAGAACACAUGACUUGACAUUUCAUAACACUGCUCACAUAAAUCAACGUUCUUAAUAUUGCUACAGUCCUCAAGGUUAUUCAGUUCUUGCUAUAUUUAUUCUGAUUUUGUCUUAGCGGUGCCUGCAGAUUUAGUUUCAUUAGAAAUUUCAUUAACACAUAAAUGCUAAGGAAUACUAAUGCCAAGAAGGAUGAGCUUUGCUUAUAAUCAUUCUCUGUACUGGCUAUGAUCUAUUCUUUAGCGCAAUACAAUUUCCUAUGCGUUUUUUAUAGAUCUUUACUAAUUGUCUGCUCAUAGAUAGUCCUAUAUCAAAUUUAAUAAAGUCCAGCUUAGAUAUACUUCGUUUAAAUGAAGAGUUAUUGUCUAACCAGAUCCUUUGAGUUCAGUUAUGAUAGAAUUUUAUCCUGUUUCCAUAUGUGUUAACGUCUAUAAUGUCCCUCCAUUCUUUCUAUGCUUCCUUGUUCCUUUCCCCGACUCAUCCUGUUAUUGAUGCCAGAGUUGAUUGGCUCCUUCUUAGCUGCCUGAGUUAGAUUUCACGCGUCAUUGUGUUCACUGAAAUUUGUGGCCAAUAUCAAGUUUUUGUUAAUCUAGUUUUGCCUAAAUAUAGAUUCAUUUGCAAAUCAGAAGUUACAGUGGAAAAGGGUUGUAUGUAUGUAUGUAUGUAUGUAUGUAUUAGUGCGAUUAGAUGCUGAAAGUGUGAGAGAGGACUAUUCCCUGUUAGCUCAGAGAUUAUCACCUUUGGGACCCAAAAUCCUAUUUUUUUCAGUAUAGCUAGUUACAUGUCUUUUACUUUUUGCUUUGCUCAUCCUUUAAAGGCAGAAAUGUGUUGAAUGGUUUUACUAUGAUGCUUCUGAAUCUAUAGGCCAUCUUUUCCAAAGAUGUAUAAUCUGAGCUAUUCUAUUUCUCAACUUGCGGGCAACGGUGAGCUUUUACCUGUUCGGUUGAAUAUUGACUUGACUCAGUGAAAUACCUCUCCUUUUCUGCUCUGUAUCUCUGCCACUGCUGUACGAACUGCUGAGUUUCUGGUGACGCUCUAGAUUAAUUCUUGUUUCUCUGCUGUUUCCUGCCUCUCUGGAGUUGUUACUGUUGAAAGGAAUUUAUCGGCUAAUCAACCAUAAGACUGGUGGGAACUCAGAGGCAAAAAGUAAUAUGACAGAGUUUGAAGAAUACUCUGUAUUCAUAUAAAGAAAUAAAACAUCAUAUUACACAUCCUCUAGCAUAACAGAUAGAAAUUAUUGUGAUUCUUUUGAAUAUUUCAUAGUGUAAUCAUUCAAGAUUCAUCUGAUGCAUUUGGACCUUUGUCCUUCUCACUGAUGUGGUGCCAUAUAGAGAUAAAAAUUCAUUUCAGUUCCUCCUUAUCUCAUUUCAUAAUGUGUUUGGUUUAGCUGUAUUGCUGUUAUACUGAAGUAUAAUACAGAAACUGCCUGCUGUGGAACAGUGAUUUUUUUUUUUUUUUGUUAUUUUUUUUUUUCCAUUUUUUUGUCUCUGUGGAACAAACAAGAACACGCGGAGCUUCUCCUUGGAAGCAUAUUCUCAGAAACAUUUUCUGUGGUGUAUUAAAGAUGUGGCGUUAAAAAAAGUACAUUAAAGCCCUGCUGUCUGAAACCUUAGCAAACGGGGAGCUUGCCACUCCGAUGUACUGUCCAGGGAAAAAGAACAGACUCGGAAUGGUGCACGCAGACAGGGAGGAAAAACUGUUUUGCUGACAAAUGAGAAAUGACUCUUUUUAGAUUAUUUCAUUUAUUUAACAGCCUGAGGUGUUUGGAUCAGAAAUCAUUAGGUAUUUUAUUUUUCCUGUUUCCUGACAGAAGGGCCACAGAAGCACACUAAGAUAAGUUAAAAACUUCCAUUCAGUAACCACCUAGAAAAAGCCUACAGAACAGAGGCAAAAGCAUAUCAUUCCAUCCAGUAUCAAAUGCUUUCUCAUCAGAUCAUCUGAAAGCUCAUCAACCAGGCAAACAGAAGUCAUCUUUGUGUGCUCAAGGUGGCUUUACGAGCACAUUUGAGGCACUGAAAAGAAAUCAAAGAUGCCUUUUGCUGAAGCCUUGACUACUUUGCAGAUGGCUGCUCUGGCCAUCGAUCAAAGCUGUAAUCAGGUCACACGGGACAAAUGGUAGAACUCCGGGAGCUGAUCGGGCCAGACUCUUCUGGGUUAGAGGCAAAUGUGCUUGAUGCCAGGCAAGAGGCUCUGCCGAUCCCCAGGGAGUAGAUUGUUCAGCAAAAGAUACCAUGGGAACAUCCAACAAUUGCACAGUAAGUGCAAAGCUUUUCUUUGGAGAACAUAUAUUUUUAUUAGAAGUUUACAGAAUCUUUGGUGUAUGUUGUCUAUCAGUAAUAUUUAUUGCUCUGACAAGUUCUCCUAUUUUGGUUUAGGCACAAAAGGAAUUACUUUUUUACUUGCUGCCUGGUGUUUCUAAGUUUUGGACCCAAUCCUUGUUAACUGUUGUAUCACAGUUGAAACUACACAGAUCUCUGAAAGGGACAGAAAAACCAUCCUCAGUGCUGGUGUGUGUUGUCUUUCCUCAUGGUUGAGUUACAUCACAGGCAGCUGCUCCUGGAAAUCAGUAGCUAUUGUUUUGUAGUGGCAAGACCAGCAAUUUUCUCAUCAUUGGGUUAAGGUGGCAGUACUUCCUGAGUUUGGCCUGAUGACAUAUUAAUUUGUUACACUCUUUUCUGUCAUUGUGACAGCUGUAGGUUAUGUCGUGUUUUUUAUUGACUUUUGUGAGGUUUAUUUGCAUUGGGUUCAUAACAGUUAACAGACCUGACUUUGCAGUGGGACGUGAGAAUAAUACUUACCCUCCUUCUUCCUCUUCUUUAACUAAAAAAAACAUUAUUGAUAAACAAUGUUUUCCUUACAUGUAAUGUAUGGCUUACUUGGAUUGCAGAGUUUAGUGCUGAACAAAGGUUUAUUUGGGACCUAGUGAAAUGACCUAAAUAACGAAUUGCUGUUGUAAAUAAUGCACUUAUUCCAACCUCUGUCAAAAGAAAUUGCAUGUGGUAGUUGUCUGCCAUAUUCAAUUAUUUGUAUACAACAAUGACGAACUAAGCAGGAUCAACUCAUACCCUACACAGGAAAACAGUGUCUCAUGUUUCCUCUCUGACAGCAGUCAGAGACUUGGGUGAGAUUGAACAGUCAUUCAGGUUCCUCUGUAUGAAGAGAAAUAAAUCUACUUCUUGACAUACAAGCCAAAUGACGUGACUUCCAGUGUGCUCUGUAUUGGGUAGCUUUCCAUAAAUACUGUUCCAUCUAACACAAGUUCCUAAAGUAGGAAUUGGAGCUUCAUCUCUCAUAUGUUUCUUUUGUUUUUCCUGAACUCUGAAUUCCCUUUAUUUUGUACUCAUGCUGAAAUGCAAAAUAUUUCAUUUUCAGUCACUGAACAGGACAAUUUAAUUGUUUGUUUGGGUUUUUUUUCAACAAAUAGAACACAGAGUGAAGAUGAUCAUCUUUUGUUUUGGCAUUUCAUUUGGGUGGAAGAAGAUUUAACUUUCAAGUAGAUAACCCUGGGGAACAUUAUUUUGUUUUGAUGGAAUAACAGAAAAUAAAUCAAAUUAGCAGAAGCAUUGGCAAACUUCAGCAUCACAAUCGUUUCAUUCUAUUGAUCAGCACCUUUUUGAAUGAUGAGAGCUUUGUGAAAGAAAUCUUGUUCAGUUCCUCAUGUUACUUGGUACUGUUAGUUCAGACUGUUCAAAUUCCACCUGUACCUAGAAAAUAUAAGCUGCUUUCUGUUACUGGAAGUAGUCCCAUUUUCCUAUGUCUUUAAGUCUGUAUAUUGGCUUCAGAGUUAGUAUUGCUUACAAUGGUAGUAGUUAAUUUAAAAAUAAUUCAGUCAUGGUAUUGUCCAACUUUUGGCAAUGUUAGGGGAGUUAGUUGUCAUCUUUUGUCAGCCUUAACACUACUAUAAUUAAUGUGAGAAAAUGCAAUUGCAAUUUUGCUAAGGCAUUGCAUUGCCGUGCAAGUCAUAAAAGGAAUACUACACGAUGAAAUUAUUCUAGUUUUAGAACUAUUCCUGAUACAUAUGCUACUCAGAGUAUUCAACAUGUAUUUGAUACACUGUCCAAAAUAAUUUGGAUGGAAACCCAAAGGAGUUGUAUCUUUUUGUGUGAAAAAUUCCAACUCUUAGAUAAACUUUCUUAUGAUGUGCAUUUGUUCUGAUUAAAAAUUAAAUGCAAAUAAUACUGGAGGGUUUUUCCUGGUAAAGUCAGCACUUUUAUCCUUUUUAUGAAACAGUUAAUUGACAAUCAACAUACAUUAGAAGCGAGUAUGAGUUCAAUAGUAGAUACAGCUUUGUUCAAGGCAAAGACCUGUUUUGGGCUGUUACGUGAACUAGUUUCAUAAAAGCAGAGCAGGCACCUGCAUCUUACAGUGUGGGAACUCAUCUGUGCACAUCAGAGGCUCUUCAAGAAAACGGCACUUUCUUUCUCCUGACCACAGCCUGGAAUGUCCCUACAACAGCUCACUUCUGGAAGACUGAUCUGUACCAAAAUUUUAUACAGACUACCUGAGUGAAACUGAAAUGCUGGUAAGUUAAGAUUUUGCUUGUGAAUUUUGCUUUUUCUUUUAUUUUUAUAUUUGUGUCUGGACCUUAGUAACCUGUCACCUGAUACAUGUUCUGUCUUGCUUUUGGAAAAUUGUGGAAAGGGGUGAAGAACACAGUAGACGACUCAUUUUUUUUUUUGCCUGUAGUCCCUCUCUGUCUUCUUUUCUUUGCAGAGCCGAAAAUAGGCAAUAACUCCUAUUCUGUCAGAAUUACUCUCAUAGAGAUGGUAUCCAUGCCAAGCAACUUCUAGUUCUUCACAUCCAAUGUGAAUGUGCAGGGAAGCAGAUGAGCCUCAAGGUACUGCAGGUGCAAUGCAUUUAUACUGUUUCAAGAACAACUUUCUGCAAGUCCGGAAAGAUCCAUAGCCUUCUUAGGCAGUUGGGAUUAAAGAAGUGAGUGUUACGUUUUGCCAUGAGGGCAGAAAAACCUAUACCUCACUGUGUCCACAUCUGGAUGUUACCCUUUAAUUUGCUAUGUACAGCACAGCCUUCUCUUUUUCUCUUGCAAUGACUCCUCAUGUGCUACUGAUAA